UGUACGGACAUACCUCUGGUGUACCAGUUGUCGUGCCAACGGCAUAGCUGGGUAGCUAUGUAUGGACGGGAUAAGUGCUGAAAGCAUCUAAGCAUGAAGCCCCCCUCAAGAUGAGAUUUCCCAACUUCGGUUAUAAGAUCUCUCGAAGAUGACGAGGUUAAUAGGUUCGAGGUGGAAGCGUGGUGACACGUGGAGCUGACGAAUACUAAUCGAUCGAAGACUUAAUCAA
rnacentral:rRNA from 1 species